GACAAGAGGUAGCUCAAAAUUUAAUUUUUUUCCUUAAAACUAUUUAAAACUUUAAAACAAAACAUUUAUAUCAAUUAAAGUAUAGGUGAUAGAAAUACUAUUUGACGCUAUAGAAAAAGUACCGUAAGGGAAACAUGUAAGAAGACUAUAAGUAUUAAAACAGCAAAGCUUAACACUUGUACCUUUUGCAUAAUGAACCAACUAGAGAAAACCUAGCAAAAAGAAUUAAAGUUAAAUAACCCGAAACCAGACGAGCUACCUACCAGCAGCUAACAGAGCAAACUCAUCUAUGUGGCAAAAUAGUGAAACGACUGAUAGGUAGAGGCGAUAAACCUACCGAGCCUGGUGAUAGCUGGUUGUCCAGAGUAGAAUUUUAGUUCUAAUUCAAGCUUGCCACGCAAGCAAACAAACUAUAAUGUAAGCUUGAAUAAUAAUCUAAAUGGGUACAGCCUUUUAGAUAUUGGAUACAACCCCUGUUAGAGAGUAAAUUUUUUUAUCAUACCACAAUAGUAGGCCUAAAAGCAGCCACCAAGUAAGAAAGCGUUCAAGCCCAACAGUACCAAAACUUAAUUUCACAGUAAAAUACAACUCCUAAUAUAAGACUGGACUAUUCUAUUCCCUAAUAGAAGAAAUAAUGUUGAUAUGAGUAACAAGAAACCACUUCUCCCUGCACAAAUGUAUACCCGAACAAAUAUAUCGCUGGUAGUUAUCAAAAUAAGUAUUAAUAAAUACUAGUUCCUUAACACUAAUUGUUGGACCAACACAGGAGUGCAAUACAAAGGAAAGAUUAAAAAAAGUAAAAGGAACUCGGCAAACAUAAACCUCGCCUGUUUACCAAAAACAUCACCUCUAGCAUAAAGAGUAUUAGAGGCACUGCCUGCCCGGUGACUCCAGUUUAACGGCCGCGGUAUCCUGACCGUGCAAAGGUAGCAUAAUCACUUGUUCUCUAAAUAAGGACUUGUAUGAAUGGCCCCACGAAGGUUUUGCUGUCUCUUACUUUCAAUCAGUGAAAUUGACAUUCCCGUGAAGAGGCGGGAAUAUAAAAAUAAGACGAGAAGACCCUAUGGAGCUUUAAUUAAUUAGUCCACAACCAUGCUUAAAUAAUCUAAAAGAGAUAAAUUUAUUUUAAUUGGACUAACAAUUUAGGUUGGGGUGACCUCGGAAUAAAACUUAACCUCCGAGAAAAAUUAUUAAGACCUACGAGUCAAAAUUUUAACUAAACACUGACCCGUCACUGACGAUCAACGAAAUAAGUUACCCUAGGGAUAACAGCGCAAUCCUAUUUAAGAGUCCAUAUCGACAAUUAGGGUUUACGACCUCGAUGUUGGAUCAGGACAUCCUAAUGGUGCAGCAGCUAUUAACGUGUUCGUUUGUUCAACGAUUAAAGUCCUACGUGAUCUGAGUUCAGACCGGAGUAAUCCAGGUCGGUUUCUAUCUAUUCACAAGUCUCUCCUAGUACGAAAGGAUCAGAGAGACAGGGCCCACUUUUAAUGAGCGCCUUAACCAAAUAGAUGAACUAAUCUUAAUCUCAUAACAACCCACUAACCACUCUAGAUAAAGGGUAA
rnacentral:rRNA from 1 species